GGGCCGUUAGCUCAAUUGGCAGAGCGCCGGACUUUUAAUCCGUUGGUUGUGGGUUCGAGUCCCACACGGCCUACGA
rnacentral:tRNA from 1 species